CCUGGUUGAUCCUGCCAGUAGUCAUAUGCUUGUCUCAAAGAUUAAGCCAUGCAUGUGUAAGUAUGAACAAAUUCAGACUGUGAAACUGCGAAUGGCUCAUUAAAUCAGUUAUAGUUUGUUCGAUGGUAUCGACUACUCGGAUAACCAUAGUAAUUGUAGAGCUAAUACAUGCAACAAACCCCGACUUCUGUAAGAGAUGCAUUUAUUAGAUAAAAGGUCGACGCGGGCUCUGCCCGUUGCUGCGAUGAUUCAUGAUAAUUCGACGGAUCGUACGGCCAUCAUGCCGGCGACGCAUUAUUCAAAUUUUUGCCCUAUCAACUUUCGAUGGUAGGAUAGUGGCCUACCAUGGUGGUGACGGGUGACGGAGAAUUAGGGUUCGAUUUCAGAGAGGGAGCCUGAUAAACGGCUACCAAAUCCAAGGAAGGCAGCAGGUGCGCAAAUUACCCAAUCCUGACACGGGGAGGUAGUGACAAUAAAUAACAAUACCGGGCUCAAUGAGUCUGGUAAUUGGAAUGAUUAAAAUCUAAAUCCCUUAACGAGGAUCCAUUGGAGCGCAAGUCUGGUGCCAGCAGCCUCGGUAAUUCCAGCUCCAAUAGCGUAUAUUUAAGUUGUUGCAGUUAAAAAGCUCGUAGUUGGACUUUGGGAUGGGCCUGCCGGUCCGCCUAUGGUGUGCACCGAUCGUCUCAUCCCUUCUGUCGGCGAUGUGCUCCUGGCCUUAACUGGCUGGGUCGUGCCUCCGGUGCUGUUACUUUGAAGAAAUUAGAGUGCUCAAAGCAUUUGCGAAGGAUGUUUUCAUUAAUCAAGAACGAAAGUUGGGGGCUCAAAGGCGAUCAGAUACCGUCCUAGUCUCAACCAUAAACGAUGCCGACCAGGGAUCAGCGGAUGUUGCUUUUAGGACUCCACCGGCACCUUAUGAGAAAUCAAAGUUUUUGGGUUCCGGGGGGAGUAUGGUCGCAAGGCUGAAACUUAAAGGAAUUGACGGAAGGGCACCACCAAGAGUGGAACCUGCGGCUUAAUUUGACUCAACACGGGGAAACUUACCAGGUCCAGACAUAGUAAGGAUUGACAGACUGAGAGCUCUUUCUUGAUUCUAUGGGUGAUAGAGCAUGGCCGUUCUUAGUUGGUGGAGCAAUUUGUCUGGUUAAUUCCGUUAACGAACGAGACCUCAUCCUGCUAACUAGCUAUGCGGAGGCAUCCCUUCGCGGCCAUCUUCUUAGAGGGACUACGGCCUUUUAGGCCGCGGAAGUUUGAGGCAAUAACAGUUCUGUGAUGCCCUUAGAUGUUCCGGGCUGCACGCGCACUACACUGAUGUAUUCAACGAGUUUAUAGCCUUGGCCGACAGGCUCGGGUAAUCUUUGUAAUUUCAUCGUGAUGGGGAUAGAUCAUUGAAAUUGUUGGUCUUCAACGAGGAAUUCCUAGUAAGCGCAAGUCAUCAGCUCGCGUUGACUACGUCCCUGCCCUUUGUACACACCGCCCGUCGCUCCUACCGAUUGAAUAAUCCAGUGAGAUGUUCGGAUUGCGGCGACGUGGGCGGUUAGCUGCCCGCGACGUCGCGAGAAGUCCAUUGAACCUUAUCAUUUAGAGGAAGGAGAAGUCGUAACAAGGUUUCCAUAGGUGAACCUGAAAAAG
rnacentral:rRNA from 1 species